rnacentral:sRNA from 1 species
UUCAAGACCAAAACAAAGAACAAACAAUGAAAAAUAAAAAGUUAUGGUAUAUACAAUGGUGGUGGUGGUGUAACCUCAGUGAUCAGGUGAAGUAGACGGAUACGAAAUCGUCCAUAAUCUCUUGAGUAUAAGCAGGGACUGAUGUUGAGACGGGAGGGUUUUGCUCGUCCUAUCCGGUCGAGUAGUUGGUCGAGCGUGUGGAUGCUCUUCUCUGCCUACUCCUUGGCUCUCUCAACUCGGCGAUCACUUCCCAAGGCUCAAAUGAUGAAGCUCGGGUUGAUCGAUCAUGUUAGCCCUUCUUGCAGCAAAACUUGUGGAACCUCUUCUUCUUACUUCGGGGGUGGGAGAAGGGGGCCUUGGCUUGCUUUGGAAGUCUUUGAUUUGAGCAGCCAUACUCUUCAACAACUUCUUCAUGGUUCUCAUCUUCUUCUUGAAACCUUUCAUCGUUUUACUGUGAAGCACAUUGAGCUUGUUGUGAACUUCAGCUAUCUCAUCUCCUCCUUGAUCAGCAUCUUCUUUAUAGUGAGCUUGCUCGAAUUCGUUAGUCUCUUGCUCUGGUUGUUCGCUAUGUUGCUCGAAUUCGACUUGCUGCUCAAAUUCAAUAGGAUAAUACUCUUGGUGCUCAUAGUUAGCUUGAGUAUACUCUUGUCCAUCUUCUCUAGCUCCUCCGAUGUCGAUGUUCAGAGCAGAGGGAGAUGGCAUGAAGUUGAUAUUGUGCCUUGUCUUAACUGAAGUUCGGUUCUCGCAAGGUAGGGGUAACAAAGAAGGUCCAAGCUCCAGAUGUUUGAACUUGAAGACGUAGUGAUCCGUCGGAGUUGUCUUUUCAAGAUAAUCCUUUCCCUUGAGGUAAUCGAGGUCGAGGAACUUGGUGUUAAGGGACCACCAACAAAAAGACUUUCGCAAAUCCCCAAGCGAUGGAUGGUUGCAGCAUAUUCUCUAUAGCUCAAUAGGUGGUCUACAAGAACAACAGUCAACAAAGUAUCUGCUCUAUCACCCGCAAUCUUCCUCGCAUCCUUGGUCUCUCUCAAAAUGAAGACCAAAGCUUGAUCAAUCAUACAUAGCUCUCCUUCACCAACAUCUCCAGUAGUCUUCUUUGGAAAAAGGGUGUUGGCGAUACAUUUGUGGAGGUACCUAAUCACGGGACUUCGAAUCGAAGAACUAUUGCUCUUGGCGGGCGAGUAGGGCUUUGGACCAACGAUUGUUGCGAAAGAGAGAGUAGCUCAUCUUGGUCAUAAUCUUGGCAGAUUUCCUCUCCGCUUGGAAACCCAAAAAUAGUAUCAAGGUGGUUGAUAUCCAGGGCAUACUCGACACCCUUAACCUUAAACGUAACGUAACCGAAACCUCCUCUUUCUUCUUUCUCCGAAUCAUUAACAUGAAUGUGGACUUUGAGGGUUGCAAGGAGUUGGCAGCUCUUCUCUUUAAUUACCCCAAAUUGGCAGCUCAUGAACGUUGCAAGAUUGGCCAAUUCCAUUAAGUAUUCCACAUCUCCACAAAUACCAAGCUCUUGCAUCGUUUCUUUAUGUAGUUCCUUCAAACUUCAAUUCCUUCAAGUAUUGAUAGUACUCGCUUGGGGUUGGCUAUCUCUUCCUUCUUGCCGGUUUCUUCUCCCAACAGGGGCUGGUGUAUCAUCCCCGAUGAUCUCAACCUCUUCUUCAGAAACUGCUUCUUCAAAGACUACCUCUUCUUGGUGUUCUUCCGCAGCCUCAACAAUCCUCUUGCCCCUAGCUACUUCCUCCCUCUACAUUCUUGAGCGACUAGAACUUCCCCCUUGAAUCGAGCUAGACUUUUGAGCACAAUGAGCUUGAAAAAUUUGGCACUCAGUCAUGCCACUCAUGUCAAUCGCUGCAACUUCUUACUAUCGACAGAGGAUCUUCUAGCCCAAGAUGAACCCUUUCUUCUUGAAUCCAUGGAGUUUGGUGGUGAGCUUCUACAGGAUAAUCAAGAACAAUUCUCCAAGAGGUAUCAAAAUGAAAAGGAUUCGUUUUUUGGUGCUGGAGUUUCGAGCUUAAAAACCGAUUGAAUAUUUGAGGAUGGACUUGGGAAUGAUCGAGUAAGUUUGGUGAGGUAUGGUGAAGGUUAGAACGAAUUCUUGAGGAGUGAUAGGGAGAGUUUGGAAUGAGAGAGAUAGAGAUUUUGCAAAAAUGAGAUGAUGAAAGAGAGAUUUCAAGGAUGGUUUGGCGAUUUCAAUGGGUGGAGGGGGAUGGUCUUUGGUUUCUUUUGGAAUGGAUAGAAAAGCGAGUUGGAAAUAGUGAUGGUAUGGGUAAAUGUAUUUCCCAUCGAGUAAUGGAGUGUUGGGGGAACAAGUGGGAUCACACAACUUAUGCCUUGGUCUCCAAAUAAUUCAAGCUCGAGUAGAUGGUCGAGCAUCCUCUUGAAAUGCGCAAAACUCGAUCAAACGGUGGAGAUCGCUUUGCUUUCGGUCACUCGAUCAAACGGUGGUGAUGCUUCCCUCAUUUGGUCAUUCAAUCCAAUGGCUAGAACAUUCUUCUUCAUUUCACUCGAUCAACGGUUGAGAUGAUUCUUGACUUUGUUUGAAUUUACUCGACUGUUGACUUCCUCAGGGUCAAUGAAAUAAACCUGAAACACUUU